CUCAAUCUCUCAGUCUCUCUCUUCAAACCUUCCCUAAAUCGUUUCCUUUCAAUCUCAUGUAAAAGUAUCUGUCUUCUUGAUUCUGCUUCAUGCGCUAGCUUUUGGGUUUUCUUCUCUUCCCCUCACUCUUCAUGGGUUUGUUAGGGUUUUGUUUGAUUCGAUGGGUAUUUGUUUAAUUUCCUUAGAGAACUGUGAAAGCUGUGUACUUUUGAGUUGGAAUCCCGUAAUCGUUGUGGUGUUAUUGUUGCUGUUUUUGGUAGUGUGAUCAGAUACAUCUUCGAUUGAAUCUGAAAGGUCUUUUCUUUGAGUUGAAAAAGGGGUUUAGUUAGGUUACAAAACCAAAGAAUCCCACCGCAAGCUUUUAUCGGGUGGUUGUCCUGUUCUCGAGGAGUUGGUGUUGGACAAAACUAAAAACAGCGUCUUUUUGCGGUCGUUCUAUGUUGAAAUGCCUACCUUACAGAGAUUUUCUAUACUUUGAUAGAUCUGAGUCAAUGAACUUCGGAGAAAAUGGGCUCUAUAAGAUUGUGAUCAUUGUCCCGUCUGUGAAGAACUUUGUAGACUUCUAUGGUGACUUGUAUCUGUGUGAGAGUAUGCCUGAAGUGAUUGAGGCAAUUGUAAAAGUGGUUUAUGAAAGUCCCAAGAAGCUACUUGAAUCUCUUCCAUCAGUCAAGAAUCUCUGUUUAUGUUUAACUGCUUCAACGCUUCAGCACCGUAUUGGGUUUUAUCAUCUUGUUCAUUUGGAGCUAUGUCAAGACACUUCAGGGUGGUGGGAUCUACUUACUUGGAUGCUUGAUAACUCUCCUAAACUACAAUAUAUCUCAAGUUAAACACGUGCAAUGAACGUCCUUGUUUCGUAACGCCCAUUGAAGGUCAUUGGGGAGGACCAAGUUCAAUUCAUGAAUGCUUGCGGUUACUUCUCUCUACUUUUGAGUGGAAAUAUUACAAUGGAAGAGAACAAGUUUUACUUUUGAUUCCUUCAACUUUUAACUAAACAAUACACGAUUACAAUCCCAUUGAAGGGUGUUUUUUUUUUUCAAAAUUAUUCAUGUGGCUAUUCAGUGAAAACUAUAUCUCACUUUGUCCACAUGUGAUUAAAAACAUGCACAUGGGCUAUUCUAUGAAAAUUAUCCUAAUUAUAAA